ACAAAGUUUAUUCCAUCUAAUAUGUUAAUUUUCACUUUAUUGCCAAAAGGGCGUCAAAUGGGUAUUCUUGAUAAAAUGCUCUAGGUACAUAAUUGUCUGAGCCAAAGAUGGCUAAUAAUCAGCAAAUGUGGAAGGCAAUUCUAAACAGCAAAGGCAAGAUGGUUAAUGCUUUAAUUCACUUGAAGCUAAUCAACAGCUGUCCUGGGCACGAAUUCUCUUGACUUUUCUUCUUUUUGAGAAAAAUGCUUUUCUAAGCCCAGCCAAAGAGCAAAGGGAAAGAACCACAUUACCUGUCAACACUAAGAGCGCAGAGGUUGAGGACGGUGAUCCCCACCGAGGACUUCUGCAAAAAGGGGAACAGCUUGCAAAGAAAUACGCCAAAGUCAUUGUGAUCAAAAGGCCAGCGCCCAGCCAGCAGCUGAAAGAAGGAGACACAGUGAUCACAGAAGAACACCACAGAAAGAAUCGUGGAGACACAGAAGGCAAUCUGCUGGGCCAGGAUUUUACAUGUCUUUGUUCUAACUCAGGGAAUUUUUCUAUAGUUGAAAUAUAGUUAAAGCCCCUGAUCCCCACCUGAAAAUGAAAGCUCUUCUAAACAGCAGAGAUUAAUAUAGGAAUUUUGCAUUUGUGUGGUUGAUUUGGAUUGUAUCAAAAUCAACAUCAUAGAAUUGACAAGCUGCAUGUUUUAACCCAUUAAAAACAGAUUUAGGGAAGAACUUGUACCAUAUGAUACACUGAUAUGCACCCUGUUUGUAGAAUGGAUAGAGCCAGAUGGAGGAUGUACAUUCACCACUAUAUUUAGUGCAAUGCAAGAUCUCAUUGGUUGGGACCUCUUAAGUAUGGGGAACAUAUCUGUUUACAUUAGUUUUCUAGAACAUACCUGACAACCAGAAAGUAAACAAAAAUGUAAGGAGCCAAAAAGUUGUGAAAUUUAUGCCCUAAAGCUCAUGUGUGUUAGUCCUCAGCAAACUGCCUGAGUCUCCACCACAGGGGGACUGAUUCUCACUCUACACCCAGUGGUGUAAAGCUUAGCUCUUAUUGUGCUCUGGCCCAUUGCACAUCCAGAGCUGUUCAUUAAUAGAGACUCUCCAGAGGCAUAGUUCUCAGUGUUGCCUGUAUAUUAGAAUGAUUUUGGGAGCUCUUCCAUAUCCCAGUGCCUUGGCCAUCACCCUAGGCCAGUGCUUAUCAACCAGGGGACAAUUUUGCCAUCCCCCUUCCCCCCACCACCACAGGGAACACUUGGCAAUGUCUGAGAUAUUUUUAGUUAUUACAGCUGGGGGUGGGUGUGCUACUCGCAUCUAGGGGUAGAGGCUUGGGAUGCUGCUAAACAUUUUGCAAUGUACAGGACAGACAACCCCAACAAAUAAUCAUCCCCCCACCCAAAUAUCACUGGUGCUGAGGUUAAAAAACUGUGUCCUAGACCAACAAAAUUAGAAUCUUUGGAGUUGGGACAUAAGCAUUAGUAGUCUUUAAGGGUCCCAGGGGAUUCCCAAGGACAGCCAAGGUUGUGAAUAGUUGCUGUGGAGCAGCAGCUCCCAAGACUUAGCAGCUGCAGAAUCACCUGGAGGGCUCAUUGAAACACAGAUGGCUGGGCCCCAUCCCCAGAGUUCCUGAUUCAGUAGGUCUGGGGCAGGGCCUGAGAAUUUGCAUUUCUAGCAAGUUCUCAGGUGAUGCUGAUGCUGCUGGCUCACCAACCAUACUUUGAGGAUCACUGCUCUAGAGGUGCCAUGGUCAGCAAAAAUGACAGCUGACAGUCAAAUGGAACAGGAGGAGCAGAAAAAGGUAUAAAAUAUAGUCACAAGAAAUAAAAAAUCUUGGGCUGGGUGCAGUGGCUCACACCUGUAAUCCCUGCACUUUGGGAGGGUGAGGUGGAUUGAUCACUUGAGGCCAGGAGUUCGAGACCAGCCUGGCCAACGUGGUGAAACCCUGUCUCUACUAAAAAGACAAGAAUUAGCCAGGUGUGGUGGCACGCGCCUAUAAUCCCAGCUACUUGGGAG
rnacentral:lncRNA from 1 species